AUCUGCCCUGCACUUCGGGAUAAGCUUGGGAAACUGGGUCUAAUACCGGAUAGGACUACGAGAUGCAUGUCUUGUGGUGGAAAGCUUUUGCGGUGUGGGAUGGGCCCGCGGCCUAUCAGCUUGUUGGUGGGGUGAUGGCCUACCAAGGCGACGAUGGGUAGCUGGUCUGAGAGGACGAUCAGCCACACUGGGACUGAGACACGGCCCAG
rnacentral:rRNA from 1 species